CCUACGGGAGGCAGCAGUGGGGAAUAUUGCACAAUGGGGGAAACCCUGAUGCAGCGACGCCGCGUGAGUGAAGAAGUAUUUCGGUAUGUAAAGCUCUAUCAGCAGGGAAGAAAUAAAGUCCUUCGGACUUUGGACGGUACCUGACUAAGAAGCCCCGGCUAACUACGUGCCAGCAGCCGCGGUAAUAAGUAGGGGGGAAGCGUUAUCCGGAUUUACUGGGUGUAAAUGGAGCGGAGACGGCAGCGCUAGUCUGGAGUGAAAUCCCAUGGCUUAACCAUGGAACUGCUUUGGAAACUGUGCAGCUGGAGUGCAGGAGAGGUAAGCGGAAUUCCUAGUGUAGCGUGGAAAUGCGUAGAUAUUAGGAGGAACACCAGUGGCGAAGGCGGCUUACUGGACUGUAACUGACGUUGAGGCUCGAAAGCGUGGGGAGCAAACAGGAUUAGAUACCCUUGUAGUC
rnacentral:rRNA from 1 species